GUACUUUUUAAAAUGCAUUAUGUGUCUUAUCGAAUAUCCAUAUACUUGUCUCUUUCUUUUUGGCAUUUACCCUCCAUUUAUGAAGAAAUGGUUGAAUUGUGCCUUGAAGACCACCUUAAUGAAAUUUAUAAGCUGGGGGAAAUGCUCUGGUUUCCCUUAAAAAUCUGUUUUAUUCUUAUUUUGGAAGUGGUUGGUGUUGAACUGUCUCAUGGUGAGACCUGUUUUCUGCCGAGAGUUCUAACGUGACUUUUCUCUUCUGUAGACGUGCAUGGAGGUGUUGGAAGCCUUGUGUGGUGGUAGCUUAGGAGACUGUAAAGAAGCUGCUGAAGCGUAUAGAGUGAGUUGUCAUAAGCUUUUCCCUUAUGCUCUGGCUUUCAUGCCUCCUGGAUAUGAAGAGGAUAUGAAGAUCACAGUUAACGGAGAUAGUUCUGCAGAAACGGAAGAACUGGCCAAUGAAAUUUGAACAUCAUUAAACAAGCAAACGGAAUGACUUUGGACCAUAUCUAGUGUAUAAUAUUUUUGUCACGCACCUGCUGCAUUGCUCUUACUUACACAGAAUGAGAGGAGUAAAUGUUCUUGCCUUC
rnacentral:lncRNA from 1 species